rnacentral:lncRNA from 1 species
AGAAGCUGGAGGCUCUCUUGAGAGUUUCAGACCAGCCAGGGCAACAUGGUGAGACAAAAGUAAAAUACUGUAAGGGUCCAAAAAUCCCUGAAGGAAGACCGCAGAUUCAGUGUGCAAAAACAAAGAGCGUUUAUUCCCUAGAAACAACCAGCAUCCGAGGGUCAGCCAUUCUUUGAAAAGGUGACCCCAGAGGAACGCACACAGACCUUAUAGGGAACCAGGGGAACUCUUUAGGAUUAGGUAAUCUAACAUUUCACUUGUGGGGGCUAGGGGGUUCACAGGUGGUCAGUGGUCUGUAGUCCUAUAUAUGAACGUUUAACCAUGUGAUCAAAUAGGGCUGUUCAGCGCAGAUGGUCCAUUCUAAGAUAUUUCCCCACGUUUGUGAUUAUCCCCAGGCUGUUCUUUGGGAGGGGGUUUUAUGAUCUUGUUCUGGAUGUUAUGGUCUGUCCUUGGAGCUGGUGACUUAAGGACUUUUUUUUUUUUUUUUUUUUAAAUCAGACCUGGUCCUCAAAUGGAGACAAGUGGGGUUUAUGUUAUCCUUACAAUACAAAUAUAAAAAUGAAGCUGUGCAGUUUGAGGAAUUAUUCUAUACAGGUUUAGGGUAGUGGUUAAUUGUGCACAGUGAGAGGCUAGCUUUGCUGGGGACUCAGAAGUGAACGGAUGGUCAGAAAGGACAUGCAGGUGUAGCCCUGAGCUUCCAAUGUCUCUGCCUCCUGUGGUAUUCACAGGUCUCUGCGCUAAGUGCUGAAAGGGUCCAUGGUUCGAGGAAGACACCCCAUAUUCAAAUAGUAUGUAAACACAAAGAGUGUUUUAUUCUGCAGAAGUCUCCCAUUACCAGAAUAGAGAGACGACCAAGUGAGCUUGCAGGCCUGAUUUAAAGCACAUCAGGGAAUUCUGGGGUAGGUGACCUCUAUGUUAAUCUGUUGGGUCCAUCUCUAUGGACAUUCCAUUCCCCGGGUGUAGGGACUGGAAGCUUGCCGGGAAGGUCUGUAAACAGUUGCUGAGGCAGUCUGGAAACAGCUGCUGACCCGUUUGUCCUUGCCUCAGGUCAAGUGGUGGAGCAGUUUCUGUAGCCUGGACUUGCCCAGUUCUUGGAAACAGAGAUUUAGGCUUAGUCUCCUUAACUGCCAAUUUGAAGCCUGUCAUUGGAAUCAGCCUGACCUUCUCAUUGCUUGCUCCACGGAAGUCCUAACUACUGAAGGUACUAAAGGAAGGACCCUUUGAAAAGCUGUAUCCUACUCAGUAGCUUUCCUGAGCAAGGCCAAUCCUUAUUUAAUAAUAUUGGGUCCCUCGAUUUAUUUAACUCCCAUCUUGAUGUGCAUCACACAUAGUUCUCUCUACACAGCUAAGGCCCCAGUUCCUCCUCAGAUAAUGCUGAUUCCCAAGUCAGCAGAUAUUUAAAAUAUUGUUCUCUCUGCUGUGGGACAAAUUUCCAGAAAAUGUCUGCUCUGCUGUGGAGAACACAGGGUUCCUUCUGAGGAUUCUUGGUCUUAUAGAU